rnacentral:rRNA from 1 species
AAUGAACGUUGGCGGCAUGGAUUAGGCAUGCAAGUCGAGCGAGAAGUGUAGCAAUACACGGAAAGCGGCGGAAGGGAGAGUAAUACGUGGGAAUCUGCCCUUAGACCUGGGAUAGCAGCGGGAAACUGCUGGUAAUACCAGAUAAUGUCUAUGGACCAAAGGUGUGAUUCCGUCUAGGGAUGAGCCCACGUCCUAUUAGCUAGUUGGUAGGGUAAUGGCCUACCAAGGCGAUGAUGGGUAGCGGGUGUGAGAGCAUGACCCGCCUCACUGGGACUGAGACACUGCCCAGACACCUACGGGUGGCUGCAGUCGAGAAUCUUCGGCAAUGGGCGCAAGCCUGACCGAGCGAUGCCGCGUGCGGGAUGAAGGCCUUCGGGUUGUAAACCGCUGUCGAGGGGGAGUAACUUCCAUAGAGUUAUCUUUAUGGAGUGAGUGAUCCCUGGAGGAAGGACGGGCUAAGUUCGUGCCAGCCGCUGCUGUAAUAC